GGGGGGGACAAUAGGUCCCCCCCUUAUUGGUAUUUUUAGGGCCCCCACCCACCGCUCAGGGGUGGGGGCCCUAAAUACUAAUAGGGGGGGGACCUAUUGUCCUCCCCCUGGCCCCCACC